rnacentral:tRNA from 1 species
GCCCAGGUGGCGGAAUUGGUAGACGCGCCAGCUUCAGGUGCUGGUAUCCGUAUGGAUGUGGAAGUUCGAGUCUUCUCCUGGGCACCA